GAACACAAAUGGAUUACACUAGAUAUAGACAAACGAUUACAAGAAAGUAAAGAUAGAUAGAUAGACAAAUGAAGAUGUAAUAUUAACAAUCCAAAAGCUUAUUCCACUUUUGGACCUUUAAUAUCACACACAACCUAAACCUAUCUCUUACGUGACCUCAAGGGAACCGGAACCCCCAAGCAAUCUCCGUUUGUAAUAAAAUCAUCAACACAAAGAUUCCACCUUGAAAGAGGCUCUCAAAAGAGGCUAAAAAUAUGUCAUCUAAAAUCUUCCCUUAAAAUGAAGGCAAACUAGCUAUUUAUAGGCCAUGGGUCUUUAUUACACAAUGGGCCCAAAAGUGACCCUAAAAGCUAUUGGGCCAAAAAGUGAACCAAAGCCCAAAAUAAUAUCAUGGGCGUCCAUGCUCUCUCGAAGCCCACGCUAUCUUCCAAACACGUCGUGGCUCAAUGCUCUCGUGGAUGACAUCAUCAAAUGUAGCUUCUCCCGUGCUCCAAGCUAUCAUCCACACAGGUAUUUGUUCCCCUAAAACAACUAAAUCUUGGAUCCAUAGAUGUGAUCCUUGAAGCAUCGAUCCCAAAGGAGUGGAGCCCAUUGAUCUUGUAUCAAUUUGUCUAUUCUAUUGCUCCCAUGUUAGCCUAUCAAUUUUAUUAUAGAAGCUUCUUUCAGUUGAAUGAAGAAAUACCUGAGAGAGAGAAAGAAGCCGAAGAGGUAAAUAAGAAAAUAAUCCAUUCAGCUUUGUCCAAGUGUUUACAGUCAUAUAUAUAUAUACAUUCAUAAUGAAAAUAUUAACCGGAAAAGGGCCGGGUCCCUGGAUAAAGAAAGGCCCAAUAACAUGUGGCCCAAAUAUAUGAAAAUGCAAGUCAACCCAGGCCUAUAUCUCCAACACCCCCUCAAGUUGGAGGGUGAGUACACACCGAGCUUGCAAAGGAGACGAUGAUGUGGAACACCAGUCAAAGCGUUGGUGAGCAGAACAACAAGUUGAAGAUGAGUAGAUAUAUGUUGUAAAGAGAUAGCUUCAGAAUGAAGAACUUCACAUACAAAAUGACAGUCGACUUUGAUGUGUUUCAUACAUUCAUGAGAGAUAGGAUUGCAGGCAAUAUGGAGAGCAGCCUGACUAUCACAGAAUAUAGGCACAGGGGUAGAAAUAUGUAUGCCCAAAUCAUCAAGUAAGCGAAGCAACCAUACAAUUUCAGCAACUACAUUGCGGAGGGCACGAUACUCAGCCUCCACAGAUGAAAAAGAAAUGGUAGGCUAUUUCUUGGACUUCCAAGAAAUAGGAGAACCACCCAAUAAGACAAAGAAACCAGUAACAGACCUGCGAGUAGUGGGACAAGCAACCCAAUUCGAAUUAGCAUAAUCCUGAAGGGAAAAAUCAUGGGAGCUGGACAAUAAACUCUCUGUGCCGGAUCAUUAAGCAAAUAACGUAGCACGUGAAUACUAGCUAGCAUGUGGGGCACCCUUGGUGUAACCAAAAAUUGACUAAGAUGUUGAACUGCAAAUGAAAUAUCCGGUCUGGUAUGUUGGAGAAAGUUUAACUUUCUAAUAAGCCUUCUAUAGAUAGAAGGGUCGGACAGAAGAUCACCACCAUCAACAAGCAAUUUGACAUGAGGAUCAAGUAGAGUGAGAACAGGUGCAACAACUGAACAAUGGAACUCAGAUAACAAAUCAGUGACAUACUUCUUUUGAUGAACCAUGUAACCAGCAGGUGUAUAAGUGAUCUCAAGUCCCUAAAAAUAAUGGACAAAGCCCAAGUCUUUAAUCUUGAAUUGAGUAUCCAAGAAUGAUUUGAGAGAUUGAAUUUCAGAAUCAUCAUUAUCAGCCAGUAGAAUGUCAUCCACAUAAAUACUAAAUACAAUAAUAGAAGAACCGGACAGCUUAGAGAAAAGAGAGCUUUCAUUUUUGCUAGCAGAAUAACCCCUUGAAAUAAGACAUUGGGAUAGCUUGGCAAAACAUUGCCUAGAAGCUUGUCUAAGGCCAUAUAGAAUUUCAUUAGUUUGCAUGCAAGGGAAGGGUCAGAUGCAGAAGUAGAGACAGUAAGACCUGGGGGAAUUUUCAUAUAGACUUCCUCAUGGAGAUCACCAUGGAGGAAGACAUUAUUUACCUCCAAUUAGUGAAUGGACCAAUUAUACUUGGCAGCAACAGUAAGUAAGCAUUUAAUAAUGGUGAUUUUCACAACAAGGCUGAAAGUCUCAGAAAAAUCCAAAUCAGCAACCUGAGAAUCACUUCCAAUAAUAAGUCGAGCCUUGUAUCUUUCAAUAGUCCCAUUAGAUUUUUGCUUAAUCUUGUACACUCACUUACAUGGGAUGACCUGUUUUUUAGGUGGUAAGGGAACAAUAUCCCAAGUGUGAUUAGCUUUCAAAGCCUGAAAUUCCUUGGUCAUGAACUCUUGACAAAUAGGAUUAUGGACAGCUUGUUGAUAAAAUUGAGGCUUAUGUAGCAACAAAUCAGUUGAAGUAAACUGGGUAGAUUCAGAGAGAAGAGGGGAGUUUGCAGAAGAGCAAACAUAAUCUUCAAGAUAUUUAGGCUUGGAGUGAGUCCUUAAAGAAACUCUGGGAGGAGGAAGAAACUGGAAUGGAAGGGGAAGGACUUUGUAAAGGAGCAGGAGAAGAUGCAGUAGAAGGUGUAGGUGGUUUUGCAUGAGUAGUAGGACAAGUGGAAGGAGAUGGUUCAUCUACAAAGUGGGAGUUAAAAGAAGGAAAAGUAUAGGGUGAAGAUGUACUCAUUGAAUGGUAAGGGAAAAUGUGUUCAUGAAAGACAACAUCCCUAGAAUAAAAAACUAAAUAAGUGUCCAAGUUGAGGAGCUUAUAACCCUUUUUCCCAACCAGAUAACCCAAAAAACAGCAAGGAGAAGCUCUAGGGGUGAAUUUGUCUCUUCCAACCUUGGGUGUAGAGGCAUAGCAUAAACAUCCAAAGGAUCUGAGGUGAAAAUAUGGAGGUAGAGAGCCAUGAAGCUUUUCAUAAGGGGAAAUAUUGUGAAGAAUAGCGGAAGGAAAUUUAUUAAUUAAGUAGGUGGCUAUGAGGAUACAUUCUCCCCAAUAUUUAAGGGGAAGUUUAGACUGGUAAAGAAGGGCCCGAGAGGUUUCUAGAAGGUGUUUGUGCUUUCUUUCAACAACACCAUUUUGUUUGGGUGUGUGAUGAAUUGUGAUUUGGUAAAUAAUGCCACAAUCAGCAAAAAAUGAUCUAGCAUAGGUACUAGAACCUAGCUCAAAGGCAUUAUCAGACCUAAUGGUCUGAAUAGUGGAUUGAAAUUGAGUUUUGAUGAGAGUAACAAAGGAUUUGAUGAUAGAGAAUGCAUUACUCUUACAUGUUAGUGAGUCCAAGUCACUCUAGAGCAAUCGUCCACAAUGGUUAGACAAAAUUUAAAGCCAUUAUAAGUAGGUGUGUGGUAAGGACCCCACAAAUCAAUGUGUAUUAACUGAAAACAAUGGGUGGUUUUAAUAGCACUAUCAGGGAAAGGUAGUCUUUGUUGCCUAGUUAGAGGACAUACAUGAUAUAUAAAAGACUGUUUAGAUAAAAUUUUAUCAGACAAAUAUGAAAUAAACUUUAUUUUAUGAAAAAGCAUGUGGCCAAGUCGUUGAUGCCAAAAUAAAUCUGCUUUAUUGAUGUUAGAAGAAAUAUUACAAGUAGUAGUGCAAGCAUUGUAAGUACAUGGAGAUGUAGUGAUAAAAAUAGAUAUGGUAUUUAUCAAUGGAUCAGAUGAAGAAAGAGUGAUGCUGAAAUGAAAGACAUACAGUUCAUUUGCCUCUCUACCAAUUGCCAAGGGCCUCUUCAGAGAUGGGUCCUAUAUAGAGCAAGAAGAAGAGUUAAAUGAAACAGUGCAUAAUAGUGUAUUAAUUAAUUGGGGCACAGAAAUGAGGUUAAAUUGAAAUGAAGGGAUGAGUAGAACAUUUGUUAAGACAAGAUCAGAAUUCAGGACUAAGGAACCACUGUUAUGAACUUUUAUUUUGUAAUCGUUUGGAAGAGUGACUAGAGAAGGGAAAGGAAGAGUUUGAAUGCCAUGAAGAAGUUGUUUAUUAGGGGUCAUGUAAUUGGUGGCCCCUGAAUCUAUAAUCCAAGUGUUAUCUUUUAACUGAGAUGUGCAACUUAAAGCAACACAAUUUGUAGCAAACAUAGACACAAUACCUGCAAAGGCAACCAUUGCAGUAGAGGAAAUAGGUGCAGUGUUGAGCUGAGAUUGCUGGAUUAAUUCCAGAAUAUGUUGAUGUUGCUCAUUGCUGAAUCCAUGAAGAGAAUCUGAAGUGGAUGGAGGACCCUCUUUGCAUGCAUCAACUUUCACACAAUCUGCUGAUUUUUUGUUCUUAGUGAAUUUGAAGUCAGGUGGGAAUCCAUGAAGUCUAUAGCAUUGUUCAAUAGAAUGACCAGGUUUUCGACAAUAUUUACAAAUUCCAUUGGAUUUUCUAUUGUCGAAAUUCACCCUUGAAUUGUAGGACUUGUUGGUGUUAGUGCAUGGGAUGGAGAAGAAGGUGGCAAAGUAUAUUCCUUCGCAUUGAAGAAAGUGUGAUCAGACAUGAAAGAUGAAUGAGAUGAUUGGAGUUCUCGCUGGUUUUCAUCAUAGAGAAGUAUGGAAUAAGCUUUUCCUACACUAGGAACUGGAGUCAUCAUAAGUAUGUUGCUUCCCACAUUUGAAUAGGACUCAUUCAAACCAGUUAGGAACUGAAUCAACUUUUGUCCAUCAUUACACAUAGGUUCAGCACCAUAUGUGCAUAGAGGACCAAAAGAGGUUGAUUUUAAUUCAUCCCAUAAUUUUCUUAACCUAGUGUAAUAACUAGCAAUAUCUAAUGAACCCUGUGAAGCCCCAAUAAUUUCUCUUGAAGUUGAUAAUAUAUACUAGCAUUGGAUUGACCAUAUCUCUCUUCAAGGUCAUACCAGACAUCCCCUGCAGUCUCACAAUGUAAUACACUCUCAACAAUAUCCUUAGACAAGGAAUCGCUUAGCCUUGCAAAGACCAUAUCAUUGCAUCUUAGCCAUUAGUCAUAUAGAGGAGAGUCGGGAUUAGGCUUGGAAAUUCUACCAUUCACCAAUCCAGCCUUAUUCUUAGCGGAGAAGGCAAUCAGUACAUGUCUUCUCAAGACAUGUACCCAGUCCUUGAAAAGGACACUGGUACAAGCACGAUUGAAAGACUGUCCGAAGGAUGGACGUACAAAGGAUGGGACGAGUCCACAACAGAGUUAGUGUUUGUUGUUGAGUUGUCAAUAUGAGUUGACGGAGUCGAAUCAGUAGAUAAAACUAUCUUCACUAGAGAGUAGUAUCAAUUAACUAUCGAAACAAGUCUGCCACAGCUAUGAGACUAUCUAACACGUAAUUCAGAAUAUGUAAAGCUUCACACAAUCGCACAAUACCAACACUUAAGAGAAUAUAGAUGAAAUCGUAGGAGAUUAGGGUUUCCAAAAAAAACCUGCACCCAAAUUUGGGGCUUUUGAAGUCUGGUGCCAUGAAAACCUCAGACGUCACCAGGGAAAGCUUCGCUGAAGAGGAAUUAAUGAAAUACUGCUGAAAACUUCAUGAGACCGUAAAAAAAAAAAUCGUCAAAAUUGUCGUUGUUGACCAAACAGUGAGUGUGAGCAACACUACGCCAUGGAUUGAAGCUGUAGAAUGGAAAAUCGAAGGAUUUAGCCGUCAAAAUUGAGAGGAUCAAUGCUUUGAUACCAUGUUAACCUAUCGAUUUUAUCCUAGAAGCUUUUUUCAGUUGAAUGAAGAAAUAUCUGAGAGAGAGAAAGAAGCCAAAAAAGUAAAUAAGAAAAU
rnacentral:lncRNA from 1 species